UACGUAGGGGGCGAGCGUUGUCCGGAGUUGACUGGGCGUAAAGCGCACGCAGGCGGUCUGCUAAGUUUGAAGUGACAGUUGGUGGCUUAACUGCCAAAGUGCUUCGAAAACUGACAGACUUGAGGGCUUCAGAGGGACACGGAAUUCCGGGUGGAGUGGUGAAAUGCGUAGAUAUCAUUGGAACGCCAAUGGUGAAAACACUCGCUGGGGAAGCGCUGACGCUGAGACACGAAAGCCAGGGGAGCGAACGGG
rnacentral:rRNA from 1 species